ensembl:lncRNA
UGAGUUUGAGACUUACAUUAGGGUCACACCCAGGGACUUUGCUAUGCUGGCAGCUAUAGCAGCCAUGGAGACUGAAAAGUAGGUAGCUACCAAGCUAAUACUUACUAAUUUAUAAAUGAGGAGUUUCAAUUCAUAUUUAAUGGCUUUUGUUCAUUAAUAUUAAGUUGUUUGGUCCAUGUACUUCUCUUGAUUUGAUACUAGGGUUUCUUUUUAUCAUAUAAGUUUUUAAAAUAAAAGUCAACAUAUCAGCUAGCUGUGGUAAUAUUUACUAGUAGCAACAUGCUGGCUAGUUGUGAUAAUUGUAUUGAAGUUUAGAAGACUAAAGGUUGCCAUGGUAUACCAUGGUAUACUUUGAAGUACCAGUAAAUACUUCCAUAUAAUCAUGUAAUACUAUGGUAUUAAUCAAACUACCAUGGUAUUGUUAUGUGAUACACUGAUAUCAUGAUCUCACCACAGUAUUUAUUUUUUGUAAGGGAUGUUGUCUUUCUCUCUCGCCAUCUGGCUCUGGCCCCAGACUGAGGUGUCCGCUCAUGUUUGGAAGUGCGGAUGAGUCGAGUCAUCUCCUCUCCGGGAACCCGCGGGCUGUUGUUCACCGGCCGCUUGACUCUCACGCAAGGCUGUCUAUCACGUCCCCGUGCAACACACCCCGAAAACAGAGAAAGAAGCUAAGAUUUCAACCAUUUAUUGUCACACUGCGGUUCAUUUACAGCUGUGGAAAGUGAUGUUUCUACCAAACCUGCGCUUUCCCAGGCCUGGCAUCGCAUCGCAACCUGUUAACAAUGUUGAACUUCUAUUUAUAGUUUUGUUAGCCAUUAAAUUUACACACCGCAAAAGCUAGCUCCCAGACACCGAUUAAGUUUAGUUUUGGACUAAACUCUGCUAUUAACAGGGAUUUGGAGCGUUUUUACAGUUAGUUGGACUUCUUGGUACAAACCCAAGCACCUUACAGGUCCCUUUUCUUCAAUUUGGGUCAACACCGCUAGUGCUUCUAUGAGUGCUAGCGUUAGCCAUUUACUCUACAGUACAUUAGUUCCAAAUCAGAAUGAGAAAAUGCAUAAAAUGGCAGCAGUUGUUUACUUCGACUAGUUGAUUAGAUAGGGAUUGUCUUUUCCAUCAGAUAUUAAACCAUUUUGAUGUAUUGCCCUUGGUAUUUUCAGUGUUUUCAUGGAUAAUUCACUCCAAAUCCCAAAAAAGACUGUUGCUACGCAAGACACCUUUUCUUUCUCUCUAUCUUACUGAAUUGUCAUCAGUCUGUCUAUGGUUAUUAGUUCAACUACAUCUCAUCGACUUCUCUUUUCUUUCCAGCUCAAUUGAUUUUUUUCGGUUUAUUGUAAGAGUCUGCUGAAGAAAGGAGCAGCCAGCACAUCAUCCAACACAGAUCUCUGAAAAUGAUCCAACGGUAGCUGCACGGAUCUCAGGCUGCCUGGCGGACAUCUCAGCAUGGAUGAAAGAAUAUCACCUACAGCUCAACCAGGCAAAGACUGAGCUUCUCGUCUUCCCUGCCACUCCGACUCUACAGCAUGAUUUCACCAUCCAGCUAGGUUCAUCAACAUUCAGAAAUCUGAAAGUAAUCUUUGAUGACCAGCUGACUUUCAAAGACCACAUUGCAAAAACCACUCGAUCGUGCAGGUUUGCCUUGCACAACACCAGAAAGAUCAGGCCCUUUCUAUAAUUUUAUAUAAAAUCAGUCAUUCCUUC